rnacentral:lncRNA from 10 species
CUAAUAUUACCCUGAUACUAAAACCAGAAAAAGACAGUGAAAAAAAAAAAAAAGAAAGAAAAGAAGCAUUGAUGCGGCUGUCCAGCCUGUUGGAUCAGCUGCAACCCACCCUGGUAUGGACUGAGGGGUCUCCCUGGGCUGGGCCGAGCAGGAGGAGGCUGAGCAGUGAAAACGGUGACCCCUGCCCUCACGGAGCUAACGAGAAGAGCAAAUGGCUGGCAACGGUGCAUGACACAGAAUGAGCAACGGGCUGCACACAUCGCGAUUUACGUGGCUUUGGAAAAAACGCGUCUCACAAGUUGGGGCUGUCAUACAUUGGCUUCUUGGUAAUCAAUGCGUUUCAGCAAUAUAUGGGGGUGAGUUUAGUUUCCAGUUGGCUUCCCUGAGGGUGUUGGAUAAAAUUGCAAUUUAGAUUCAA